rnacentral:rRNA from 1 species
UACGUAGGCAGCGAGCGUUGUUCGGAAUUACUGGGCGUAAAGAGUGUGUAGGCGGUGCUCUAAGUUCGGUGUGAAAUCUCCCGGCUUAACUGGGAGGGUGCGCCGGAAACUGGAGUGCUCGAGCGUGGGAGAGGAAAGCGGAAUUCCUGGUGUAGCGGUGAAAUGCGUAGAGAUCGGGAGGAACACCAGUGGCGAAGGCGGCCGGCUGGGGGUGACCUGACGCUGAGGCGCGAAAGCGUGGGGAGCGAACCGG